rnacentral:misc_RNA from 1 species
GGUCUGAAAAUAAAAGGCACUAAGGGGUUUCAUAAUCUAGAUGGGGGUUUAACAACAAACACAACAAAAAAUGCAGUCUACUCGAUUUUCUCCGCAAAUAAACAGGUCAAUAAAAGAAGAUAAUAACUCCAUCUUCCAAGGAUUGUAAAAUCCUCAACAAAAUUAUCCUUUUCCCGGUUUUUUUAAACAGUUCUCUUAAAGAGCUAAUUAUUA